AUUUUACAAAUAUUCAUAUGUUCCAUAGUUCGAAAAUUGACGUUUGUUAUAAUUUAAUAUAUUUUUGUUUCUUUUCUUAUUUUUGGGGCUCAAGGAGAGGCGCACCAUUGCCCUCCAUUGGCCAGCGGUCUCUGCUUCUCGCUAUUAACAUGAAUAGGAGUUCAUUUCUCAAUUGCAUUUUCUCAAGCCUUCUUGAAUUCAGCAUGUAGUUGAUUUCGUAAAGGGUCCCACUUAAAUGUUAAAUGAAAGCUUGUCACCAGUGGCGUCUCUACCACAGGGCGCUCCAGAUACUGAAUGCUUGCUGCCAUUGACUUCAACAAACAAAUCCCAAGAUGGCAAUGAUUAAACCGGAGUCUCCAUAACCGCCGCCCACCAACCAAUGCGUCGCGUAACGGCCGCUGUCUCCCCCGUUGGUCUGGUUGAGUACAACGGAACGCUGAAUAACCAAACGGGUCAUUGUAAUAAGUUAUUAGCUCAACAACAGAAUGUUUAAAAAAUGAUUUCUGUAAAAUAACGUGUGAUAAUAAAAAUGUACCCAAGUGAACUCACGCGGCUUAGUUUCCCUCUCUAAUAACAAGUGGAGUCCAUUGCAUGGUUUUAACUUGUAAGUCUAAUCACAAAGUUUCUCCCUGAACUGCAGAUUGAAGUUUGUGGAGGAGAUACUCAGCCAUCAUCAUCAUCAUCAUCAUCAUCAUCACACACACACACACAGCGUGCAGCACAAACAGUCUCUGAUUGGCUUCCUGCUCAACAUCAGGAGCUCUUCACUAUCACUCAUCACUCGACACACUGAGCGGAUCGGUGAGACGCACAGACACAACACAUUUUCAUAACAGAGAGCUCGCCUCACAGGACGGGCCCCGGCUGCCGAAUACAAUUGAACCAAAUGUCGGCACUACAUUGAUUGAUAAGUGAGCCACUUAUAGUAGGAGGAAGCAUUCAGAGAGACGUUCAGUUUUCCAUUUUUUCGUAAUUAUUGGACAAGUUGCUGCUGAUGCUGUUCAUAUUUUAUGACUCGUUAAAACAAACACAGCGCAUGAAACGGUAUGUUUCUCGAGAUAAAGAUAUAAAAAGCAGAAAUUUGAAGGAAAAUGGGUUUGUUUACUUAUAUGAGAGUAAGGGGGAAAUGAUCCAAUACUGGUGUAUGAGCUGAACAACGUACGUCUCACGUGUCUCAGCAGGAUGCAAAGGCAGAAGCAGCAGAGGGACGGUGUGUGUACCGUUCAGAAGAUUGUACCAUCAGUAUUCCGGGACACGUUGACCAGACACACUGUGUCUUCUCAAAUUGUGCAACAGACCCUAUUGAUGAGAAAACAAAGCUUUUGAUAUUCAUGUAAUGUCACCUGAGCGCCUGUAGUCUUUGCUGAAGCUUCGGUCCGGAUGCACUGUGGGUCACGUGAAGGUCACUUAGCGGAUGAUUCACAGAUGACGACGUUUUGGAGAACGCUCCAAUCAAAAAUCUUCCCCCGGACAGUGAAAUUGCUCAGAAUAAGAAAACAAAUUCCAACGGUCCGUGAAUGUAGAAACAUCUCUCUAAUAAACUCAAAUUAUUCUGUUAUAGGCACAUAAAGGGAAACGCUCUCGCUCUGUUAUUGUUAUUACUUCAUUAAGCUUCAACGCGGAAAACAAUUCCAAAAGAUGGAACGUGAUCAAGAAAAAAGCAAAAAAAUACCUGUGGUCGUGACUGCAGACGUAAAAUCCUUUUACAAUACAGAUUUUUUUUUUGAGACAAGAAUAUUUAAUAAAAACCUUGAAUUCUGGAGUGAAAGUUGGUUGCUUCAAAACAUAUGCGGUACUAUUAACUUGUGUAUUUUAAUGCAAAUUCAAUAAAACAAAGUUAAAUUG
ensembl:lncRNA